rnacentral:rRNA from 1 species
AGUAUAAGCAUUAUACCGUGAAACUGCGAAUGGCUCAUUAAAUCAGUUAUCGUUUAUUUGAUAGUACCUUACUACUUGGAUAACCGUGGUAAUUCUAGAGCUAAUACAUGCUAAAAACCCCGACUUCGGGAGGGGUGUAUUUAUUAGAUAAAAAACCAAUGCCCUUCGGGGCUCCUUGGUGAUUCAUGAUAACUUCUCAGAUCGCAUGGCUUUGCGCCGGCGACGGUUCAUUCAAAUUUCUGCCCUAUCAUCUUUCGAUGGUAAGGUAUUGGCUUACCAUGGUUUCAACGGGUAACGGGGAAAUA